UCGAGAAUCUUCGGCAAUGGGGGCAAGCCUGACCCAGCAACGCCGCGUGAAGGAUGAAGGCCUUCGGGUUGUAAACUUCUUUGAUCAGGGACGAAACAAAUGACGGUACCUGAAGAACAAGCCACGGCUAACUACGUGCCAGCAGCCGCGGUAAUACGUAGGUGGCAAGCGUUAUCCGGAAUUACUGGGCGUAAAGGGCGUGUAGGCGGGAAGACAAGUCGGGAGUGAAAUCCCAGGGCUUAACCCUGGAGCUGCUUCCGAAACUGUCUUUCUUGAGUGUCGGAGAGGAAAGUGGAAUUCCCAGUGUAGCGGUGAAAUGCGUAGAGAUUGGGAGGAACACCAGUGGCGAAGGCGACUUUCUGGACGAUAACUGACGCUGAGGCGCGAAAGCGUGGGGAGCAAACA
rnacentral:rRNA from 1 species